GACGAACGCUGGCGGCGUGCCUAAUACAUGCAAGUUGAGCGCUGAAGGUUGGUACUUGUACCAACUGGAUGAGCAGCGAACGGGUGAGUAACGCGUGGGGAAUCUGCCUUUGAGCGGGGGACAACAUUUGGAAACGAAUGCUAAUACCGCAUAAAAACUUUAAACACAAGUUUUAAGUUUGAAAGAUGCAAUUGCAUCACUCAAAGAUGAUCCCGCGUUGUAUUAGCUAGUUGGUGAGGUAAAGGCUCACCAAGGCGAAGAUACAUAGCCGACCUGAGAGGGUGGUCGGCCACAUUGGGACUGAGACACCGCCCAAACUCCUACGGGAGGCAGCAGUAGGGGAUCUUCGGCAAAGGACGAAAGUCUGACCGAGCAACGCCGCGGGAGUGAAGAAGGUUCUCGGAUCGUAAAACUCUGUUGGUAGAGAAGAACGUUAGUGAGAGUGGAAAGCUCAUCAAGUGACGGUAACUACUCAGAAAGGGACGGCUAACUACGUG
rnacentral:rRNA from 1 species